UACAUGUGGGGCAAGCGUUGUUCGGAAUUACUGGGCAUAAAGGGCGCGUAGGCGGGCUGUCAAGUCUGGGGUGAAAUGCCGCGGCUCAACCGUGGAACUGCCUUAGAUACUGACGGCCUCGAGGAAGGUAGGGGCAUGCGGAACUGUAGGUGGAGCGGUGAAAUGCGUUGAUAUCUACAGGAACUCCGGUGGCGAAAGCGGCGUGCUGGACCUUUUCUGACGCUGAGGCGCGAAAGCUAGGGGAGCAAACGGG
rnacentral:rRNA from 1 species